UUACAAUGAAGAGUUUGAUCCUGGCUCAGGAUGAACGCUAGCUACAGGCUUAACACAUGCAAGUCGAGGGGCAGCAUGGUCUUAGCUUGCUAAGGCCGAUGGCGACCGGCGCACGGGUGAGUAACACGUAUCCAACCUGCCGUCUACUCUUGGACAGCCUUCUGAAAGGAAGAUUAAUACAAGAUGGCAUCAUGAGUCCGCAUGUUCACAUGAUUAAAGGUAUUCCGGUAGACGAUGGGGAUGCGUUCCAUUAGAUAGUAGGCGGGGUAACGGCCCACCUAGUCUUCGAUGGAUAGGGGUUCUGAGAGGAAGGUCCCCCACAUUGGAACUGAGACACGGUCCAAACUCCUACGGGAGGCAGCAGUGAGGAAUAUUGGUCAAUGGGCGAGAGCCUGAACCAGCCAAGUAGCGUGAAGGAUGACUGCCCUAUGGGUUGUAAACUUCUUUUAUAAAGGAAUAAAGUCGGGUAUGGAUACCCGUUUGCAUGUACUUUAUGAAUAAGGAUCGGCUAACUCCGUGCCAGCAGCCGCGGUAAUACGGAGGAUCCGAGCGUUAUCCGGAUUUAUUGGGUUUAAAGGGAGCGUAGAUGGAUGUUUAAGUCAGUUGUGAAAGUUUGCGGCUCAACCGUAAAAUUGCAGUUGAUACUGGAUAUCUUGAGUGCAGUUGAGGCAGGCGGAAUUCGUGGUGUAGCGGUGAAAUGCUUAGAUAUCACGAAGAACUCCGAUUGCGAAGGCAGCCUGCUAAGCUGCAACUGACAUUGAGGCUCGAAAGUGUGGGUAUCAAACAGGAUUAGAUACCCUGGUAGUCCACACGGUAAACGAUGAAUACUCGCUGUUUGCGAUAUACUGCAAGCGGCCAAGCGAAAGCGUUAAGUAUUCCACCUGGGGAGUACGCCGGCAACGGUGAAACUCAAAGGAAUUGACGGGGGCCCGCACAAGCGGAGGAACAUGUGGUUUAAUUCGAUGAUACGCGAGGAACCUUACCCGGGCUUAAAUUGCAGAUGAAUUACGGUGAAAGCCGUAAGCCGCAAGGCAUCUGUGAAGGUGCUGCAUGGUUGUCGUCAGCUCGUGCCGUGAGGUGUCGGCUUAAGUGCCAUAACGAGCGCAACCCUUGUUGUCAGUUACUAACAGGUUCCGCUGAGGACUCUGACAAGACUGCCAUCGUAAGAUGUGAGGAAGGUGGGGAUGACGUCAAAUCAGCACGGCCCUUACGUCCGGGGCUACACACGUGUUACAAUGGGGGGUACAGAGGGCCGCUACCACGCGAGUGGAUGCCAAUCCCCAAAACCUCUCUCAGUUCGGACUGGAGUCUGCAACCCGACUCCACGAAGCUGGAUUCGCUAGUAAUCGCGCAUCAGCCACGGCGCGGUGAAUACGUUCCCGGGCCUUGUACACACCGCCCGUCAAGCCAUGGGAGCCGGGGGUACCUGAAGUGCGUAACCGCGAGGAGCGCCCUAGGGUAAAACUGGUGACUGGGGCUAAGUCGUAACAAGGUAGCCGUACCGGAAGGUGCGGCUGGAACACCUCCUUUCU
rnacentral:rRNA from 2 species